GCACCAUUUGCUCAAUGGCAGAGCAGCGGGCUCUAACCCCGUGAGUCUGAGUUCGAUUCUCAGGUGGUGCACCA
rnacentral:tRNA from 1 species